rnacentral:tRNA from 1 species
CUGGCGGCCCGGGCCGGGCAACCGGCCGCGCCGCGGGAACCGGCGGAUCCCGGAUCCCCGCCGGAGCCGCCGGGCC